AUUGAACGCUGGCGGCAUGCCUUACACAUGCAAGUCGAACGGCAGCACGGGAGCAAUCCUGGUGGCGAGUGGCGAACGGGUGAGUAAUAUAUCGGAACGUGCCCAGUCGUGGGGGAUAACGUAGCGAAAGCUACGCUAAUACCGCAUACGAUCUACGGAUGAAAGCGGGGGAUCGCAAGACCUCGCGCGAUUGGAGCGGCCGAUAUCAGAUUAGCUAGUUGGUGGGGUAAAGGCCCACCAAGCCAACGAUCUGUAGCUGGUCUGAGAGGACGACCAGCCACACUGGAACUGAGACACGGUCCAGACUCCUACGGGAGGCAGCAGUGGGGAAUUUUGGACAAUGGGCGCAAGCCUGAUCCAGCAAUGCCGCGUGCAGGAUGAAGGCCUUCGGGUUGUAAACUGCUUUUGUACGGAACGAAAAGGCUCUGGUUAAUACCUGGGGCUCAUGACGGUACCGUAAGAAUAAGCACCGGCUAACUACGUG
rnacentral:rRNA from 1 species